AUGGUCAGCUUCUGUUGUGGUUCUGUCUGCUCUGAACAGAGCUGUGGCCAAGGCCUCUGCCAGACGUGCUGCUGCCCCAGCUGCUGCCAGAUCACCUGCUGCAGAACGACUCACUACCAUCCCAGCUGCUGUGUGUCCAGGUGCUGCAGGCCGCGGUGCUGCCAGUCCCUGUGCUGCCAGCCCACCUGCUGCUGCCCCAGCUGCCACAUUUCUAGCUACUGCUGCCCCAGCUGCUGUGUGUCCAGCUGCUCCAGGCCCAGCUGUUAUAAUCCCCAGUGCUGCCAGUCCUCCUACUGCCGCCCUUUUGCUGCACUUCUAGCUGCUGCCACCCUGGCUGCUGUGUGUCCGGCUGCUGUCAUCCAGUCUGCUGCCAGACCACCUGCUGUGGCCCAACCACCUGCUGCAGGACCACCUGCUGCCGCCCCAGCUGCUGUGUGUCCAGCUGCUGCAGGCCCCAGUGCUGCCAGUCUGUGUGCUGCCAGCCCACCUGCUGCCGCCCCAGCUGCUGCAUCUCCAGCUGCUGCCGUCCCUCUUGCUGUGAAUCCAGCUGCUGCCGCCCCUGCUGCUGCCUGCGUCCAGUCUGUGGCCGAGUCUCCUGCCACACCACUUGCUAUCGCCCAACCUGUGUCAUCUCCACCUGCCCCCGCCCCUUGUGCUGCGCCUCCUCUUGCUGCUGAGCCCCCUGCCCUGCUUCACCUCCCCCUUCACUGCUGGCCCACAGAUGCAGACCCUUCUACUGUGCUGGCUAUUAGGACACAUGGAGUGGGGUUGAUGUCAUUCAAUAGGAUGGACCUCAUGUUUCCAAUGAGCCCAUCACCAUUUCACUGACUCUGAGAAUAUUCUGGUUCAUUUUAAGCUCCCUCCCUUGCUUUCUUUUUCUUCCAGUGGUAGCACCAAAUAGAAAUUAAUUUGUAAUCCACCAACUAAGAAAUUAUUCCAAUCCUCUAAUUUCCUUAUUUUCUUUAUCACUUUGAGGUAGAGAUUCUCCUUCUCAGUGAGGUAGACAUUAUCUGCAGGAUCAGUUUUGUCACUGAUGUUGCACCCUCAGACCCAGGGGCCCAGUUAUAUUCUGUGUUUCUCCUAGUGUGAAUUUCUUAUGCUUUGUUGCAUCUCUGCUUUCUAAUAAACUUUUCUGCACAUGAGAA